ACUACCGAUUGAAUGGUUUAGUGAGGCCUUCUGACUGGCGCCGCUACUGCGGCUCGUCCGUGGCGGUGGAUGCCGGGAAGUUGGUCAAACUUGAUCAUUUAGAGGAAGUAAAAGUCGUAACAAGGUUUCCGUAGGUGAACCUGCGGAAGGAUCAUUACCGAUACCGCGUCCAAAACAACUCUGUGUUGUUUACCGUGUGAAUGGUACUUGCCUUUAGGGGUCGGCCUCGGUGCCGUUAAAUGGCGGUCUGUGCGUCCGUGCUGUCGCUAAGUUAGUGCAGUGCGCGGCGGGCAGGCGGUCAGCCCCGACUUUGUUUUUUAUCAAAUCGAACUUUGUCAGUCUGAGAACCGUUUUGCUGGAAAGACAGCAACUGUAGAAAAACAAGGAGACAACUUUUAACGGUGGAUCUCUUGGCUCACGCAUCGAUGAAGAACGCAGCCAGCUGCGAUAAGUAGUGUGAAUUGCAGAAUUCAGUGAAUCAUCGAAUCUUUGAACGCAAAUGGCGCUCUUGGGUUCUCCCAGGAGCAUGUCUGUCUGAGUGUCGGAUACAACCCGAACGCACGUCCGCGUGCGGACUUGAGGCGUCACGGCGCGAUACUUUGCCGCCGUGUCCCUUGAAAGACAGAGGGACUCGCAUCGCAGUGCCGCGAAGCACUCUCCAUGCGAAGGCUAAAAAUCCAUUUGGUCCUUGGCACUGGGCGGUGUGGUGACUGGACGGAGUCCGCAGAAGAGACGCUCACUCAAUCAUCUUGACCUCAGAUCAGGCAAGGCUACCCGCUGAAUUUAAGCAUAUUAAUAAGCGGAGGAAAAGAAACUAACAAGGAUUCCCCCAGUAACGGCGAGUGAAGCGGGAAUAGCUCAAAUUUGAAAUCUCCGGCGCUUGCGUCGGCGAGUUGUAGUUGCGAGAAGCACUUUCUAGGCGGAUCGGCUGCGCCUAAGUUGCUUGGAACAGCACGUCGCAGAGGGUGACAACCCCGUCUGUGGCGUGGCCGGCCGCUGACGAUGCGCUUUCGAA
rnacentral:rRNA from 1 species